GGCUUAGUUGAGUUGAGUAGAGUUGGUGGCGUAGUACUAGUUUUUGGGAGCUAUUGCUUUACUGUGAGGUGGUACAGAGGAAACUGUGGAAUUAUUGUAGUUUAAGCUUUGCUCAUAUAAGCUGUUAACCUCUGUAUUGGCAGCACAGAUCUUUGUUUCUUUAUCUUGAGUGUUUCACAUAUAGCUUCUUCUUCGUCUUGCAACUUUCUUGUACUUAAAUUCUUUAAGGACGUCAUACUUAAUGUAUAAAUGAUCUGAUCUGAAGCAGUGGUUAGGUCUACCAUGAAUGGUAGUUUUUGUUAGUGAUCAUGAUUAAUAAUUCUUUUUAUAGCAUUGAUCGUCUAGUCUGUC
rnacentral:misc_RNA from 1 species